GAUGAACGCUGGCGGCGUGCCUAAUACAUGCAAGUCGAGCGAACGGACGAGAAGCUUGCUUCUCUGAUGUUAGCGGCGGACGGGCGAGUAACACGUGGAUAACCUACCUAUAAGACUGGGAUAACUUCGGGAAACCGUAGCUAAUACCGGAUAAUAUUUUGAACCGCAUGGUUCAAAAGUGAAAGACGGUCUUGCUGUCACUUAUAGAUGGAUCCGCGCUGCAUUAGCUAGUUGGUAAGGUAACGGCUUACCAAGGCAACGAUGCAUAGCCGACCUGAGAGGGUGAUCGGCCACACUGGAACUGAGACACGGUCCAGACUCCUACGGGAGGCAGCAGUAGGGAAUCUUCCGCAAUGGGCGAAAGCCUGACGGAGCAACGCCGCGUGAGUGAUGAAGGUCUUCGGAUCGUAAAACUCUGUUAUUAGGGAAGAACAUAUGUGUAAGUAACUGUGCACAUCUUGACGGUACCUAAUCAGAAAGCCACGGCUAACUACGG
rnacentral:rRNA from 1 species